rnacentral:misc_RNA from 1 species
AAUCAUCAAAACCUUUUCCUUUGAUCCUCUUUUGGUCGGGAAAAGGAUUUUUGGACUUGGAGGUUCUAUGCUCGCUUUUGAAAGCGAGCUCCUCUCAAAUGAAUUAGUGGGGUCUGCUUUGCUGAUCCUUGACGUGAUAAGAUGUUUCUACGUUUUGGAUUUGGCACUGUCCCUUGGACGCCUGCUCCUAACCGUCUGUUGGACGACGAUGGUGCUUCGGUCACUGCCAUCUACAUUGGCGGGAGGCUGGACCCACAAAAAAGA